rnacentral:rRNA from 1 species
AUUGAACGCUGGCGGCAGGCUUAACACAUGCAAGUCGAGCGGAGAUGAGGUGCUUGCACCUUAUCUUAGCGGCGGACGGGUGAGUAAUGCUUAGGAAUCUGCCAUUUAGUGGGGGACAACAUUCCGAAAGGAAUGCUAAUACCGCAUACGUCCUACGGGAGAAAGCAGGGGAUCUUCGGACCUUGCGCUAAAUGAUGAGCCUAAGUCGGAUUAGCUAGUUGGUGGGGUAAAGGCCUACCAAGGCGACGAUCUGUAGCGGGUCUGAGAGGAUGAUCCGCCACACUGGGACUGAGACACGGCCCAGACUCCUACGGGAGGCAGCAGUGGGGAAGAUUGGACAAUCGGGGGAACCCUGAUCCAGCCAUGCCGCGUGUGGGAAGAAGGCCUUAUGGUUGUAAAGCACGUUAAGCGAGGAGGAGGCUACUGAGACUAAUACUCUUGGAUAGUGGACGUUACUCGCAGAAUAAGCACCGGCUAACUCUGUG